AACCUGCGAAAGGAUCAUUA
rnacentral:rRNA from 1 species